GACUCGCGGGUGUGCUGGAUAGCAUGACAGUCUUCGAAACUGUCGGACGCUUGUUCGAUUCCUGGGCGGGUUAC
rnacentral:tRNA from 1 species